GAAAGGGCAUGUGGUCGAACAAUUGUUCAGGUUGCAGCCGGGCAUUAUUUGAAUACGGGCCUGCAACAUCCAGUGUCUAAAACCGUAUAUCCGAUUAAAGCAUUAGAGGAUACAUCAGAGGCGUGAUGAAAAAAAAAACGUGCGAGUCAUUUUACAGGGACUCUAUCAUGGACGGUUUCGUUUUCGCCCAAAGACAAGUUCAUAUCCCCGAAGCGAGUAAAAAAAAAAUAGGCAAUAAGCAAUAAGCCUUGGAAACGGCGAUAUUACUUUCACGUGAAAAUUUGCUACCCGGGGUUAAAAGUCACUGAUUGCUAACAUCUGCCACUAUCGUUUCUUAUUAUUAUUUUAAAAUCGUAUGGAGCCCUGGGCAUCAGCCGGCCCCUAUGUUACUCUCGAUCGUCUGCUACUAUUUAAGUCUCAUCGGUGGAGUUAUGCCCUAUGGCAAUGUGGACCGAUUAAGUAACUGCCCACAGUUUAGUUAAUUAUUCGGCAGUUUUCAAUUUAAUUUGUUGGAUGUGUCAGCCAAUGGUUGCUUCGUCAAUUCAACCUCAGUUUAGUUAUAUUUUGCGUAACAUCUGCAAAAAUCACAUGUAUAUGCAUAUGAAUGUAUGUCCAACUCAUAGUCUACCUAAUCAAAAUGAAUUGCAACAGUCUGAAUGAGUUGAACUUCUGAAGUUGGUGACGACUAUGUAUAUGCAAAAUACGACCAGGUCAGAAGAUGUGCUACAAAAGUACAGUGUAAUUAAGUACAAUAUGGGUUUUUCACACCACCGCAUUGCAUUCUGUUAAGGGGUAUACCCGGCCCGUUCGCAAAUUGCUUGCUAGAUUCUGGACGAAAUCGUAUAUGGUCCGACACCCCCGUGCCAUCUGAAUAAGUUACACCGGAAUGCUAGGAACAAUGUACAUAGUAAAGGAGUGCUCACGAAAUGGCGUAAACUUCUUGGCUGGCAUACUCCGUUGGAUCCUCCACAAAGUCAUAAUUUAUCAUUGAUAAAAAAAAACUGCUUCAUUUGCUAUGGGGUCAUCAAUGCCGUGAAAGAAAGUUGUACAUGCGUUUUAAAAACUUUCGUAAGACAGAGAGAAUUAGGGGACAUUUGCUGUUGCAAAGACUAGCGCUUCGCAACAUAUGACGAGUUUCUCUUGGAGCCAUGAUCAUUGCUUUAACGCACUGCUACUAACGACGUAGGAGCGACUUACAAUUCACAAUGUCAUAAAGCGGAUUUAUUUAUUUGAUGUCAGCGUUCCUGUGGUAGCUGCUCGUGGAUACCUGGUAUUUUGUUCCGGA
rnacentral:lncRNA from 1 species